AAUAGAUACCCGGGUAGUCCACCCCGUAAACGUUGGGAACUAGUUGUGGGGUCCUUUCCACGGGUUCCGUGACGCAGCUAACGCAUUAAGUUCCCCGCCUGGGGAGUACGGCCGCAAGGCUAAAACUCAAAGGAAUUGACGGGGACCCGCACAAGCGGCGGAGCAUGCGGAUUAAUUCGAUGCAACGCGAAGAACCUUACCAAGGCUUGACAUACACCAGAACACCCUAGAAAUAGGGGACUCUUUGGACACUGGUGAACAGGUGGUGCAUGGUUGUCGUCAGCUCGUGUCGUGAGAUGUUGGGUUAAGUCCCGCAACGAGCGCAACCCUCGUUCUAUGUUGCCAGCACGUAAUGGUGGGAACUCAUGGGAUACUGCCGGGGUCAACUCGGAGGAAGGUGGGGAUGACGUCAAAUCAUCAUGCCCCUUAUGUCUUGGGCUUCACGCAUGCUACAAUGGCCGGUACAAAGGGCUGCAAUACCGUGAGGUGGAGCGAAUCCCAAAAGCCGGUCCCAGUUCGGAUUGAGGUCUGCAACUCGACCUCAUG
rnacentral:rRNA from 1 species